AAAAAUUACAGGGAAAGGGGAACGAGAGUUUCCCCCAUGAUGUACGGGCGGACGGGAUGAGUAACACGUGGGCUAACCUUGCCUUGCUAAGACUUGGGAUAACCUCCGGGAAACCGGGGCUAACUACCGGAUGGUUGUUUUGACACCGCAUGGUUUCAAACAUAAAGGGGGGCUUUCGGCCUACCCCUUUAAAGAGUGGCCCCGCGGCGCUAUUAGCUUAGUUUGGGGAGGUAACGGCCUCACCAAGGCGACGAUGCGCUACCCAACCUUGAGAGGGUGAUUGGCCACACUGGGACUUGAACACGGCCCAGACCUCCUUACGGGAGGCAGCAGUAGGGAAUUUCCGCAAUGGACGAAAGUUUGACGGACACCGCCGGGGGAGUGAUAAGGUUUCGGAUCGUAAAGCUUUUGUUGUAGGGAAAAACAAGUCCGUUCAAAAAUGGCGGCCCCUUUGACGGUCCUAACCAGAAAGGCCACGGUUACUACGUGCCAGCAGCGGGGAUAAUACGUAGGUGGCAAGCGUUUCCCAGAAUUUAUUGGGGAAAGGGCCCUCCAAGGCGGUUUUUUAAGGCAUGAGGAAAAACCCCCCCCGC
rnacentral:rRNA from 1 species